rnacentral:rRNA from 1 species
UACAGAGGGGGCAAGCGUUAUUCGGAAUUAUUGGGCGUAAAGGGCGCGUAGGCGGCUUUGCAAGUGACGGGUGAAAUCCCUCGGCUUAACCGAGGAACUGCCUGUCAAACUGCAUGGCUUGAGACCGGGAGAGGUGAGUGGAAUUCCCAGUGUAGCGGUGAAAUGCGUAGAUAUUGGGAGGAACACCAGUGGCGAAAGCGGCUCUCUGGAACGGUACUGACGCUGAGACGCGAAAGCGUGGGGAGCGAACAGG